rnacentral:rRNA from 1 species
AUUGAACGCUGGCGGCAGGCCUAACACAUGCAAGUCGAGCGGAUGAGAGGAGCUUGCUUCUCGAUUCAGCGGCGGACGGGUGAGUAAUGCCUAGGAAUCUGCCUGGUAGUGGGGGACAACGUUUCGAAAGGAACGCUAAUACCGCAUACGUCCUACGGGAGAAAGCAGGGGACCUUCGGGCCUUGCGCUAUCAGAUGAGCCUAGGUCGGAUUAGCUAGGUGGUGAGGUAAUGGCUCACCAAGGCGACGAUCCGUAACUGGUCUGAGAGGAUGAUCAGUCAAACUGGAACUGAGUCACGGUCCAGACUCCUACGGGAGGCAGCAGUGGGGAAUAUUGGACAAUGGGCGAAAGCCUGAUCCAGCCCUGCCGCGUGUGUGAAGAAGGUCUUCGGAUUGUAAAGCACUGUAAGUUGGGAGGAAGGGUUGUAGAUUAAUACUCUGCAAUUUUGACGUUACCGACAGAAUAAGCACCGGCUAACUCUGUGCCAGCCGCCGCCGUAAAAC